GAUGUACGCUGGCGGCGUGCCUAAUACAUGCAAGUCGAGCGAACAGACGAGGAGCUUGCUCCUCUGACGUUAGCGGCGGACGGGUGAGUAACACGUGGAUAACCUACCUAUAAGACUGGGAUAACUUCGGGAAACCGGAGCUAAUACCGGAUAAUAUAUUGAACCGCAUGGUUCAAUAGUGAAAGACGGUUUUGCUGUCACUUAUAGAUGUAUCCGCGCCGCAUUAGCUAGUUGGUAAGGUAACGGCUUACCAAGGCGACGAUGCGUAGCCGACCUGAGAGGGUGAUCGGCCACACUGGAACUGAGACACGGUCCAGACUCCUACGGGAGGCAGCAGUAGGGAAUCUUCCGCAAUGGGCGAAAGCCUGACGGAGCAACGCCGCGUGAGUGAUGAAGGUCUUCGGAUCGUAAAACUCUGUUAUUAGGGAAGAACAAAUGUGUAAGUAACUAUGCACGUCUUGACGGUACCUAAUCAGAAAGCCACGGCUAACUACGUG
rnacentral:rRNA from 1 species